UAGGGAAUCCUCCACAAUGGACGCAAGUCUGAUGGAGCAACGCCGCGUGAGUGAAGAAGGUUUUCGGACCGUAAAGCUCUGUUGUUGGUGAAGAAGGAUAGAGGUAGUAACUGGCCUUUAUUUGACGGUAAUCAACCAGAAAGUCACGGCUAACUACGUGCCAGCAGCCGCGGUAAUACGUAGGUGGCAAGCGUUGUCCGGAUUUAUUGGGCGUAAAGCGAGCGCAGGCGGAAGAAUAAGUCUGAUGUGAAAGCCCUCGGCUUAACCGAGGAAUUGCAUCGGAAACUGUUUUCUUGAGUGCAGAAGAGGAGAGUAGAACUCCAUGUGUAGCGGUGGAAUGCGUAGAUAUAUGGAAGAAUACCAGUGGCGAAGGCGGCUCUCUGGUCUGCAACUGACGCUGAGGCUCGAAAGCAUGGGUAGCGAACAGGAUUAGAUACCCUGGUAGUCCAUGCCGUAAACGAUGAGUGCUAAGUGUUGGGAGGCUUCCGCCUCUCAGUGCUGCAGCUAACGCAUUAAGCACUCCGCCUGGGGGAGUACGACCGCAAGGUUGAAAC
rnacentral:rRNA from 1 species